CAAAUACUCCCUCCGUCCGGAAAUACUUGUCAUCAAAAUGGAUAAAAGGAAAUGUAUCUAGACAUAUUUUAGUUUUAGAUACAUCUCUUUUUAUCCAUUUUGAUGACAAGUAUUUUCGGACGGAGGGAGUAAAAA
rnacentral:pre_miRNA from 1 species